ACCAACCGUUGCAAAAAAAAAUUUAUUCUACUAGUUCUAUAAUCGUUGUUAUUGACAGAUAACCGUUGCAAUAGGGAAUCUUAUAGCAACGGUUUCAUUAACCGUUGCCAUAAAGUCACCUAUUGCAACGCAUUUUUGGAAAAAAAAAAAAAAAGAUAUUGCAACGGUUUUUAUUUUUCCUCCCUAUUUUUCCAUAAAAUCCGCCAAAACUUUAACAAAUAUAUAAUAAAAAUAAAAAAAAAAUACAAAACUAACUUUCACUCUCAACUCUUAUCAGUCGACAAACACAACACUACUAGUAAUGCCACUGCGCCGACUACUCACCACUCUUCGACUGCCUCUCCGACGGCCCACUACUGCUCCGAUUGUCACUCCGAUGGCCAACUGCUGCUCCGAUUUUCACUCCGGCGGCCCACUUCUACUCCGAUUGUUAUUGCAAUUGCUACUCUGACCUCGGCUCCGAUUGCCGCUCCGACCACAGAUCUAGUUGCUGAAUCCUCAUAUUAAGUUUGCUCUUCAUAUGCUAACAAAAAGGAGAAUUAAAUCCCUAUGAGUCCAUUCAUUUUAUGUUGUAAUGGAGUCAAGAUCUAGAAAUCUAUUGUGUUUGUCAUUAAUUUUAAGUAUUUAGUGCAAUCUAUUCUGAUUACUACGGAUUAUUUCUUUGUUCGAAUGCGUCAUUCUUUCUUUAAUAGUGUUGGGUUAAUUUAUUAAUUUUUUUUUCUUUCUUCAAUUUUUUGUUGGGUUGGCUUUUGUUUGUUUCUUAUGAUUAGCUAUAAAUAUUAGGGGUAUGGUCAUGGAUAAUUUUGCUAUCAUUUGUUGUUUUUCAUUGCUUCAAACCCAGAAAAGAGAAGAGCUUUCUUUUUUAGUAUUUGUUUUUAAGUGUCAUAGGCAACUGAAUACCAAAUGCCUCGUAAGCCCUCGUAGUCCAUUUUUGUUUAUCAGUAUAUUGAACACUGGGGUUUGAAAAUUCAUUUAAUAGACACCAUUUUCAUGCCAAAUAUAUUGAAUCUGAACAUUAUAUUUUGGAUAUCUUACUCUCUAAAAAGCUUUCUACCUAAUAUGGAUAGGUAGUGAGAACUAGUGCCAUUCUGGUAAGGCUGGAACUAUUCAUCCUGCUAGUUAGUGAAGAUGCUCGUUGUCGGUCAUUUGCGCUUACUUGGAAUGCUUUUCUCUAGCAGUGAUUGAAUUUUGCUGAAGUUUAUAGCUGGAAUCAUUAUUUAAUUGUCAAAGUCUGAUUGAAACGAAUCUACUGAAUCAUUGAAGAGGAUCGUGGUCUUAUUGUUUCUUGGUGAUAACAAGUUAACAGGCACCCUGCUAGCUCAGAAGAGACGGUCUCUCUAGACUAUAUUAUUGUUUCUUUAUAGUUAGCAAUCAUGAAUCACGAGAAAGUUAAGAGCUUUGUUUCAGUUGGAUCACUAGCAGCAUUACAAAACAAGCAAAUACUACAACAGAAGAAGAAGAAGAAUACAGGCUACUUAAAUGAAAAGGAAAAUCAUCAUAAGCAGAAGGAGAAGUCAAACAACGUUUCAAUUAGAUCCCAAGUACAAGAACAAGUGCAACAGGUGAUUCAGGAUCCCUAUAUUACCUAUACCACCAGUAGAGGAGCAAGUGCACCAAGAAUUGGCAGAUUACACCACUCGUGCAUCACAACCAUCACUUGAACAAGUGCAGUAAGAUCAACCAUAACUUUCUAAUUUUGAAGAAAAUGAACAAUAUGGAGAAGGCAAGCAUACAUAAAUUUUAGUUCAUACUAUUUUAAAAAUUAUUUGCAUUCCAGUAAUUUUGUUGUUCAUAUUAUUGUAGGCCCUUCAAUUAAUAAAAGAAAAAGAGGCACUACACAAAUGGCAAAAGUACAUAGACGAACUGAGCGUCAACUAAUAGUGCUAAAUGAGUUGAAUCAGCCUAUUGGUCCUACUAAAGAAACGGUCACCGAGUUUAGCAGUUUUCUUGGCACUCUGGCAAGGAAUGGGACAUUUUGUCCUCUUAAUCUGAGUUGGAAAAAGUUGAAGACACAUGAUGAAAUGUGGAGCUAUAUCCAG